UACAGAGGGGGCAAGCGUUAAUCGGAAUUACUGGGCGUAAAGCGUGCGUAGACGGUUGCGUAAGUCAGAUGUGAAAGCCCUGGGCUCAACCUGGGAAUUGCAUUUGAGACUGCGUAGCUAGGGUGCGGAAGAGGGAAGCGGAAUUUCCGGUGUAGCGGUGAAAUGCGUAGAUAUCGGAAGGAACAUCAGUGGCGAAAGCGACUUCCUGGACCAGUACCGACGUUCAGGCACGAAAGCGUGGGGAGCAAACAGG
rnacentral:rRNA from 1 species